CCCCGCCGGGCACGGAGGCAGCGCGACCCCGUGCCGCAGCCCCCCGCACCCCACGCUCCCCGUGCCCGGUGCCCGAGCGCUGCCGGUCCCGGGAGACCCCCGCCCUGGGACCCCGCAUCCCGGGACCAGCUGGAAAACCCGCACCUGGACCCCCAGCCCGGCCCCCCCAGCCCCAGCCGCACCCCCCGAGCAUCUCCGGUGCCUCCGGUGCCCCUGCCCGCGGCUGCCUCCGCUCGCCCGGCCCCGAGCGCGGCCGCUGCCCCUCGCGGGGUGCCCCGGGGACACCCCAGGGCGCUGGCAGCGCGCCCCGGUGCUGAGGUUUGGCUUUGGCCUCGGGCAGCGGGGGUGAGGCAGGUGCCCGCGGCCAAAGUGCGCGGGGUUAGGCUGCAGCAGGUGAGGUGAGAGCACGCAGAACUGGAAACACAUCCAGCAGGAGGAGGGAUGGACGGACGGACGGACGGAUGGAUGGACGGACAGAUGAAGGGAUGGAGGGAUGGAGGGAUGGAUGGGUGGGUGGGGAGAUCCUCAUGGAAAAGAGGGAGCUCCUCAUGCACACACAGAGAGCCCCGGAGGUGCAGAUGUAGCAGCUCUGCCAUCAUGCCGGGGGCAUGCUGGGGACGUGGCCCUGCUCCCCCUGGGGACAUGCUGGGGACCUGGCCCUGCUCCCCCUGAGGACACGGGUGCUGCCUGCACCAAGCCCCGAGGGGUCCCCCCUGUGCUGCUGCGCCUGCGGCUGAGCAGGGCUGGGGCUGUCCCCCCGUGCCGUCCCCACGAGCCCGAUGUGUCCCCACGGGAGCCACCCCUGGGUCACCACCGGCCAGGGCUGGCCGUGGGGUGGGGGACAGGGAUCCCCCAUGCAGGGUGGCCCCGUGGGGUGGCCGGCCAUGGGCAGCAAGCCGGGAUGUGGCCACAAGCCCUGCGUGGAGGUCUGUCCCUUUGGGACGGGGGAAUCCCUGUCCAGCCUGGGCGGUGGCACCCCAAGCAGUGCCGUGCCCCCCCGGCUGCCGCCUUCCCUUUCCUGGCAGUUUCGGUCGCUGGGGCUGCCACGCGCAGGGCUCCGGGAGGAAGCGGCUGUGGGCUCGGCCAGCUACGGGAUGGCCACCGAGGGGCCGGACCUGUACGAGAACCUGCAGAUCCGCUACCCGCACGGCGCACGGGACCAGGCGGAGCUGCGGGUGGCACGGGCAGAGCUGGAGGCGCUGGGGCCGCUGCUGCCGCCCGGCCCCGAUGGGCGGUGGCUGCAGGGGCUGGGCCUGGGCUGGAGGUACCACAAGGGGAAGAUCUACUACUUCUCGGGGGACCAGAAGCCCUGGCGCGAGGCGAAGGAGUUCUGCCUCUCCAAGCAGGCGCAGCUCACCUCCGUCACCAGCCGGGACGAGCAGGUGGGUGCGCGGGGCUCCGUGCCCUUCACCGCCUGCGUGCCCUGCAGCCAGCUGCCAGCUGCACCCCCGGGCACCCCGUGCCCGUGCCUUCCUGCCCCGUGUGCCCCCCCACCCCAUGCACCUCCCUGCCCCGUGCACCCUCCUGCUUGUGCCUUCCUGCCCCAUGUAG
ensembl:lncRNA